CUUGACCAACGUAUUUGCGAUUUUUCAUUCCGUAAACAACAUCUACCGGAUAAAAGUUCAGCGUUUACAGAUAUCCAGUCCAUGUAUGCAGUUUGAGCUGAUAGCAUGUAUGUCAUGUACAUGUACAUGUAGAGCUACACGUUCUGACGGUUCAUCAUGGAUAUUUCAAUGUGGCCGUCAUUUGAACCUCAAAUUGUUGUGUAAAACAAACAACGGGAAAGGGUUAAGCUUGAAGAUGUUAUCAUCUAGUGAACUACCAAACUAAUUUACAUUUCGUGGACAUUCACCGAAGGAACA